GCCUCAGUAGCUCAGCUGGUAGAGCAGUAGUUUUGUAAACUACAGGUCGGGAGUUCAAAUCUCUCCUGAGGCU
rnacentral:tRNA from 2 species